rnacentral:rRNA from 1 species
AGUGAACGCUGGCGGUAGGCCUAACACAUGCAAGUCGAACGGCAGCACAGGAGAGCUUGCUCUCUGGGUGGCGAGUGGCGGACGGGUGAGGAAUACAUCGGAAUCUACUUUUUCGUGGGGGAUAACGUAGGGAAACUUACGCUAAUACCGCAUACGACCUACGGGUGAAAGCAGGGGAUCUUCGGACCUUGCGCGAUUGAAUGAGCCGAUGUCGGAUUAGCUAGUUGGCGGGGUAAAGGCCCACCAAGGCGACGAUCCGUAGCUGGUCUGAGAGGAUGAUCAGCCACACUGGAACUGAGACACGGUCCAGACUCCUACGGGAGGCAGCAGUGGGGAAUAUUGGACAAUGGGCGCAAGCCUGAUCCAGCCAUACUGCGUGGGUGAAGAAGGCCUUCGGGUUGUAAAGCCCUUUUGUUGGGAAAGAAAUCCAGCUGGUUGAUACCCGGUUGGGAUGACGGUACCCAAAGAAUAAGCACCGGCUAACUUCGUGCCAGCCGCCGCAGUAA